rnacentral:lncRNA from 1 species
UUUGGUGUGGUGUGGGCGGUUUGUGUGGUUUAUGCGGUUUUUUGCACACCCUUUACUACAUCUAAGUACAAUUCAGUGAACCUAUACAACAGUUCAUCCACCAUUCAUCCCAAAUAUGGAAUUUGUAUUUGGUAUUUACUCAUACCCUUGAUUGUCUUAUAACUUUUCUCAAUGUCCAUCACCGUUCAUAUUUAGCUGAUUUACCUCGCUGACAUCAUGUAGACAGCCUUGAUCCAACGUGCACCUGUAGAAAUUGAGCAACAUCCUAAGAAUAAACUCAUAAUUUAUCAGUGUUCUAAAAGGCGCGCCAUGGCGUGAGGCGUGGCUUCGCCGUUACGAAAAGCUUCAUAAUGUUACUGUUAGGCGUAACGCUUGGCAAGGCGUGAUAUGGCGCGCCAUGGCGCGUUAUGGCGUGUUAUGGCGCGUGUUUUUUCGUUUGAGACACAAUUUUUUUCUCUUCGUUGUCUUUUCAANGUUUGAGACACAAUUUUUUUCUCUUCGUUAUGUCUUUUCAAAUCGGAGAUACAAGUAUUGUGGUUUUUGUUAACUUUUUGUUAUUAGUUAUUGAUCUAACACUUCUAAUAAGUAGUUAUAUUUAAUAUAAAUUUAUAUUUAUGUGGUAAUAUAAUUUUAAAUUAAUACAAAAUCGCCGCCUUACAUCACGCCUUGAAAAACGUCGUGGCUCGCCAUGGCUCGUUAAGCUUGAGGCUUGGCCUUGUCGCCACGCCACGCCUCACGCCAUUUAGAACCUUGUAAUUUAUAGAAACAUGCCAAGAUCACAUAAUACGGAAUAUUCUAAUAUGAUUUCAUAAACAAUCUUUAUAAUUAAUCACUAAUGACUUACAUCGUCCUUAACAUACUGAUUAAUUAUACUGGGAAUAGCCACAUAAAAAGACAAUUAGUCAUGCGAUACAGAGUUUGACCAUAUUUUUUACAAAAACAGAAAAGGUUUUGAUAUCAAAUGGAUUUAUUUCUAAACUAGAAACUGAUAAAAAUUUGUAAAGAGAUAUGAAGUUAUAUAACAAAGGUUACAAAGGGAUUAAGAUGGUGCCGAUUUUCAAAAAUAUUAUUAAACUCAAAGACUUAAAGCCAAUGGGUUUGACAAAAAAAAGGUCAAAGUUUCUGGAUUGAUGUCCGAAUAAAGGGUCAAAGAUUCUGGAUUGAAGUCCAAAUUGUACACAAUUUCGUUAUGUUUUCUAGUAGUUCUUUCAACAAUGCACAUGUUUACUGGAAGCCAAUAUGAACGAAAGCUACAAUAUGCCAACGAAAAAGAAAACACAAAAGAAGUGGUGCAAUGAAGAUAAAAUAAUACAGCUGCAACCAAUAUACAUAGCAAGUUAAUGGUAAACGUUCUACAAAAACCGAAUAGCUAUUCAACUACUGCAGUUAUAGUUUUCUCUUCUUUUUGUACUAGUUUUGAUUGUUCGUUCAGUAUAAAAAUAGUAUUAUCAACAAACCAAAACAAACAAGUCUCAAAAUUAAUGUUCCUAGUACUUUUGGGAUAGUAACAUUAUUGAAAUGAAUAACCACUCUUUUAGUAGAUGACAUACCUUUUCUACU